GCAAUUCACCUGAGGUCGCCUCCCUCUGUCCAGACAAGGGCAGCCUGCAGGCUGCGGUGGUCAUCGUCCCGGCACUGAACUCCUUGUCCACACUGCUGGUCGUCAGCUGCAUCUUGUGGAAGACAUGCCGACGGCGGCGGGCCCGGCUCACCUAUCCCAGCCCACCAUCCCCAUAAACAACCCAGCUAAGCCAUUCUAGGACCAUGAUGGCCAUGGCAAUUCGUACAGAUGAUCCCAGCGCUUGGCAGGAGGAGAGAGGAGGAUGUACACAAAACAGUGCCUGUUACAGAAGACACUUGACGAACACAUGCUGAAUUCACCAUCUGAUGACGUGGGAGGAAAACACCACACACUUGGGAGAUCUCAGGGAGCCCCUUUUAUAACUCAUCUCCUGUGACCCGUGUGCUGGGAACGUUUCAGCCACCAUCCCUCAUGCUCCUAAACACAGAUGCUAUUCUCUCCUGUCUCCUCCUUUGUCCCCAUCUAAUUUCGUUGACAAAUGUCUUCCAUUCUUUUUUCCAAAUGUACCCACAGUCAUGUCCCCCACAGCCAUUGCCUAAUUCAAUUUUCAUCACCUCUGCUCUGGUCCUAAGCUUCCUGCAUUCUCUCUACAUCUAAUCUCAGCAGAAGGCUCUAUUGUGUGAAAUUUUUACCUUGAAACUAGGCAAAACUUAAAGCCCCAGUUUCUUUGAGUCUGGAGCCUACAUGUGGCUUACCCAGGUGCUGCUGACUCUGGGCCUGCCACAUGGCCACAGUCAGCUGUUAGUCUACGCUGCCAUGACCCCAAGCCCAGCCUGGGGGCCAGUCCACUUCCAUGUUCACUCAUAUGACUGUGAGAAGAUUUCAGAUCUGGACAUUGAUCAGAGUCAUCGGCUCCUAUACAUACAGACCCACCCACAGCACAGCCCAUAACACAGCUGCUGCCUUCCCCAAGCAGGCACCCCUGAACAAGAGCAGGCACCCAAGACAAACUGCCUUGAUGUCAUCACUUCUAACACCGUCAGUUCUGUAGUCUUAAUGGAAUCCUUAGGCUCCGCCCCUACUCCAGGAGGGAGAACUGAACCAGGAUGUGGGUACACAGAUGCAGGAUCAUUGAUGACAGUCUUAGAGACUGCCUGACACCUUCUUUUCAGGCCUCUUAGCUCAGCAUCUAAUGUGUAAAGAUGACAUCUUCUCUCCCCUCUUCAGGAACUCUGAUGACUCACUUGUACACCCAGAACACGCUCUUUCAUAACAGGCCCCCAACCUCCAGCCCAUUCUCACCCUCCGCUCUGCGCUUGAUCUCCCAAGGACUUUGAAUUAUCAUGGCACUAUUCCUGUCACAUGCCAUUCCCAUGAAAUGCCACUGCUUCUUAGCAAGUCUGCUCUGGGCUGGGCAGGCAGUUAUAUUUAUCUCUACUUAGACAUCCUUUGGAGAUCUUUUCUCUGAAACAACCCUCAGCACGCCAAAUUACAACUCUCUCCACUUGAGUACGUCAUGAAAUGGCAAAUCUAAUACGUCCAGAAGCCCAUUUCAUCCCUGGGAUUUGCCAGCGUUUCACUCUGGAGCCAUCCAUUCCCACUUCUUACAGAAACCUGGCCCCUGGUCCGGUUCAGACAGGACUCUCACCAAUUGCACUGGUGUCAUUAAAAUGUCUGGAGAGCAGUCAUUUGUGAUAGAGUGCUACCGAGUCAAUACGCAUGCUACUAAUAAAGGCAAUUAUGUUCCUCA